rnacentral:rRNA from 1 species
AUUGAACGCUGGCGGCAGGCCUAACACAUGCAAGUCGAACGAGUGGCGGACGGGUGAGUAAUGUCUGGGACACUGCCUGAUGGAGGGGGAUAACUACUGGAAACAGUAGCUAAUAACGCAUACCAUCGGAUGUGCCCAGAUGGGAUUAUCUAGUAGGUGGGGUAAAGGCGCAACUAGGAGACGAUCCCUAGCUGGUCUGAGAGGAUGAACAGCCACACUGUAACUGAGACAAGGUCCAGACUCCUACGGGAGGCAGCAGUGGGGAAUAUGGCACAAGUGGCGCAAGUCUGAUGCAGCCAUGCCGCGUGUAUGAAGAAGGCCUUCGGGUUGUAAAGUACUUUCAGCGGGGAGGCGUUACUCGCAGAAGAAGCACCGGCUAACUCCGUGCCAGCAGCCGCGGUAAUAC